CCCAGCAGCCGUCGAGCUACCAGCCCAAGCCCCAGCAGCCGUCGAGCUACCAGCCCAAGCCCCAGCAGCCGUCGAGCUACCCGCCCAAGCCCCAGCAGCCGUCGAGCUACCAGCCCAAGCCCCAGAAGAAGCCUGGAACUCCAAGCACAGAUGACAUGUGGGACUUUGCUCUUUCCCAUGAUGUCGCUUUUGACCCAUAUGAGGAGUUGCCCACUUACCCUGAAGUGAAUGUUGGGCCUAGAAAUUUCAGACCAACUUAUAUGGUGGCACCAAACCAUCCUGGAUGGCAGCAGCGAGUGGCACGUUAGUGACUUCAUUGAGUUUGACUACAUGCGACUCUUCAGGAGACUCAGGCAUCUUUGAGAAAUUCAAUAAAAUAUUUGAACUACA